rnacentral:misc_RNA from 1 species
GAUGAAGAACGCAGCGAAAUGCGAUAAGUAAUGUGAAUUGCAGAAUUCAGUGAAUCAUCGAGUCUUUGAACGCACAUUGCGCCCCCUGGUAUUCCGGGGGGCAUGCCUGUCCGAGCGUCAUUGUUGCCCUCAAGCACGGCUUGUGUGUUGGGCCUCCGUCCUCCUCCCGGGGGACGGGCCCGAAAGGCAGCGGCGGCACCGCGUCCGGUCCUCGAGCGUAUGGGGCUUCGUCACCCGCUCUUGUAGGCCCGGCCGGCGCUUGCCGACACAUCAAUCUUUUUUCCAGGUUGACCUCGGAUCAGGUAGGGAUACCCGCUGAACUUAAGCAUAUCAAUAAGCGGAGGA